UCCUAACAAUGCCGAAGUUGCAAGACAACAGAGAGGAAGAGGACAACAACAUCAACAACAAAGACAGGUCAUCUCAGAUGAAAUCCGUGCCACCCUAGUUCAUCAUGUGCUCAUACAUGGGAGGACUAUGAGAGAAGCUGGACAGCUAGUGGAACCCAAUCUAAGCCGUUACACAGUUGCAUCCAUUGUCCGUACUUUCAGAAAGGAAAACAGAACUGAGAGGCAGCCAUCUAUGGGAGGUAGGUGGAGACUUCUCACAGCUGAGCAGGAGACUGCCCUGGUGAAUACGGUGAUUGCCAAUAAUGCCAUCCGUUUGAGGGAAAUUCAAACCCAAAUAGUUGAAGACCAGAUAGUCUUCCAAGGAAUUGACAGCAUCAACACUUCCACCAUUGACUGGGUCUUUCAGAAGAACCACAUAAGGACAAAGCAGCUGUACCGUGUGCCUUUUGAAAGGAAUUCAAACAGAGUUAAGGAGUAACGAUUCCAAUAUGUGCAGAGAAUCUGAACUGGAUGCCAUGGCUGACCCACAGGAGUACAUCUUCAUCGACGAGGCAGGGUUCAACCUAACAAUAAAGCGCAAAAGGGGGAGCAACAUCAUUGGUCACCGUGCCAUCAUACAAGUUCCUGGCCAGAGGGGAGGAACGUAACCCUAUGUGCAGCCAUCAGCAAUCGUGGCGUCCUCCACCGCCAUGUCAAAGUGCGUCCAUACAACACGGCACAACUCCUUCAAUAGCUGCACAAUAACAUUAUUCAACAGGAAGAGGAGCAGGGCAACCAGAGCAAUCCCAAUAUGUUGUCAUUUGGGAAAACGUGAGUUUCCAUUGGGCUGCUCUGGUUCGCGCCUGGUUCAAUGACCACCCCAGGUUCACCGUUCUUUUUUUGCCAGCAUAUUCCCCAUUUCUGAAUACAAUUGAGGAAUUCUUCUCAGCAUGGCGGUGGAGAGUGUAUGACCGUAACCUCUACGCACAGCAAAACCUCCUGGAGGCAAUGCUGGACGCUUGUGGUGAUGUGCCUGUGGAGUCUAUCCAGGAUUUUCUAAGGCAUUUUUCCCACGCUGUCUGGGCAGAGCAAACAUAAUGUGUGACGCUUAUGAGAUAUUAUGGCCUGACCCAGACCUGAGACAAGAUGAUGAGAAUGCUGAUGCUGAGUAACUUGUACAUUUGCUGCAUUUGGAAAUAAAGCUUUUGGAAAUUGGG